UGUAUGAGGUCAUCUGAGGGCAUCUGGAGAACAACCAGUUCUGGAGAAACUGUUGCCUCAUAUCUGGGUGAAUGUGGGCUUUGUGCUCACCAAGGAGGACCUCACCGAGAUCAGGGACAUGCUUCUGACUGUUCUUAUACACAGCUGACGCU